rnacentral:lncRNA from 1 species
CCACUCCACCCCGCCCCACUGCCUCUCCCACCUCCCUCCCAGGCUGCAGCGAGAGGGGCGACCCCCGAAAGUUGCGCGGAGGCGAGAGCAAUGAGGCAAGAGAGAAGUUUUUAAAAACAGAAAAAUGUGACUGCAUAAACAUCGUUGUUGGCAGGAGGACUCAGUGGAUUCAGAUACAACUGUAAGUGCUGCCUAUAUGAAAGAGCUGAGCCACACCAUCCAGUAAACUGUCUAGAGCAGCAGUUGGCUUGCUUGGAAAUCACUUCCAGGACUGCAUUGUAAGUAAGUGUUUUUACAAAAGCAUCAUCAAAUGGUUUCUUCAGUGUUGGGGUGGUUUUGAGAUGUUUUGGUUGUUUCUUGUAAUUUCACAGUUUUAUUCUAACAUCUAGUAAGACACUAACAAUGCAUGUGGGAGCUUGAGCACCUCCAUAUCUGUGCACAGCGUAAACCUAAAACCCUUUCAAGGCUUUUUGCUCUCUUGCACUAGAACUCCCCAGCAUAGUACCGAAACAAUUCUGGGAACAGGCAGCUAC